GGAAGGAGACCUUGGAACUGGAUCCGGAUUUCCUAGGAGUGAGCAGCACCCGGCUGGCCGCCGCGAAAAGAGUUGGGUGCCCAUUUCUGAGCUGGAAGCCAUAGCUUUGUCUCGAAAAUAAACCGCUCAUAGGGGUGUAGACCAGUGAGCUGAAACAAAACAACCGCGCAAGUCCGCAGCAGGCUUCCGCCAAAGCAUCGCGGGGACCGUCCUGGGAGAGCAGCGGCGCUCCCGGGGCCAGCCCCCCGCCCUGCUCCUGGGAGCCGCCGAGGCUCUCCCGGGGCGGCUUUCCCGCCAACUCGCCUCCACGGCCGCUUCCAAAAGUUCGUGCGUGGACGCGAGACGAGGGGCCACGCCACGGGUCAUGUCCAGGGUUAGGUUUUCACGCGGGUGCCUGCAGGGUGCGGCCAUCAGCCCCGGUGACCUCCGAAGGGAACUGCCUUGCGCGCCGGCCCUAUGGCAUGUGCGCGCCUCAUGGACAGUCGGUGCCCGAGGGGUGCCUGCAAGCACCGCGCUCCCCGACGAGGAAGCGGGACGCGGGGGUCAGCGGGCUUGAGCCAUCACUUUAUUCUUCGUGGGGAAACCCCUCCAGCCCUGCUCCGGUCGUGCAUCCUGCCCGGUCCUCCGUCCUGGCCGGCCGCCUGGCAGGUGAUGUCUGCGGUCACCGUCCUGCGUGCCUCUUUUUGCCCAGCGGCGGAGCUCAGAGGCUAACGGUAACCAGACAAUUACCGAAGUAGCAGCACGGCAUUAGGAGGCGGACAAAACCCGAGCCCGGCAGCAAAGCCCCUCGCCGCCCCUCCUGCCCCCUCCCCGGCGGAGCGCACGCCCAUGGAGCCGCAGCUGGGAGCAGCUAGGAGCGCGGCCGGUGCAUUCAGAGCCGCCGCAGACUCCACCUCCUCGUCCUCCCUAUCAUUGUUAGCCCUGUCAUUAAUACCGCUCCUUAAGCAUCCUUCGCGCCCUUCUCCCCCCGGGGAGGGGAGCGCCGGGGAGCGAGCGCCCGGCCGCCGGUGCCCGCCGCGGGCUUCGGCUCCGGCGGCCAGUCGGGUCCGGGGCGCUGGGGAUGUGAAAGAGACAGUCAUGUGGCCCCUUUCUGGAGGAGCUGACCCCUCGGGAUUAGAGGUCUCACCAGCCUUUCUUUCCCUUUCUCUGCUCGUAUAAAAGCAGGUUGAAGGUGAUGCGGUGUCUUGGGCAGACACUGCAGUGUUUUGAUUCAGCUCAGCCCUUUUCACUGUUCAAAGCAGCUGUUCAAAUACUAGGGCUGCUUACUUUGACGUGAAGAAGAUUUUCAAACAACCCCAAAAGCUUUGAACUGACAGGCCUCCUUGAUAUCUCCUUCAUUGCAGUGCAGCUACUCGAGAAUAUUCGCUAUAAAAUACAUAGAGCGCCACUUUACUGGAGCUCUCUCCUGGAUGGGAGGCCAGGUGCUGCAUACACAUCAGGUGCAUGCGGAGGGACGCUGGCGGUCCCCGGGACUCCCCGGCACCCUACACCCGGCCGCCCCCCUCAUGUCCCGGGGGUCCCCAGCCCGCCACUCGCCUCGGGCUGCUGCAGCGGGCUGCGGCAUGUGAGGUGCCGGGGUCCCCGGUGCUUUCACUCCCUGCAUGCCAGAGAGAAAGCUGCAUUUCCAGCAGCAAAACAGGAGCACGGCUCGUUCCUAGAGAGCCUCGGCUCCCGGGCACCUAGCAGCAUCCCGGCUCCGGGGGCUGUGGCAGCGCUCUGGAUACGUGCGUUCCUAGGGCGGACAGUAUACAUUGCAUCUGCCUGCUCUGGUUAGAGGUGAAAAGCUUCUUUGAAACUCUGGUCUCCAAGCCUUGAGAUAUACUCAGGCAGCUGAAAGGAAAGGAGGGGGGCGGGAGGGAUCCCCGCGCCUCCUUUCUGCGUCUCUAUUAUCUUCCCAUUAGAUGUUGUUUUAGGAGGAAAUGCGCCAGGAGUGCAAAGACGCUGCGAGUCGCUCGGAGAAUUGCUGGGUGCAAUAAACGUGAGGCUCCCGGUGCUCCCUUUAAAGGCCAGCUUGGAAGAUUUGUGCUUAUUGCUGGGGCGCAUUUAAUGCACCUUUUGUGAGAUGGGAUUGUUUUGAUCUCUGCUUCCCUUUUAACCUUUCUCUACGAGGUAUUCAAGCCUGCGCUUUCGUGUGGCUCUUUCCAGUGUUGCUCCAAGGAGUCUGAUUCGGUGGAGAGACCCAAGGCAUGAAUGAAACUUCAACUUUAAGGGCCUGCGGAGAAACAAAACUGAGGCCGGGGCUUCACAAGUGAUUGCUUAAAAAAAAAAUCCAAUCUACACAAAGAGGCAGCUGGCUGCUUUAAUGAAAACUGCUUAAAGCUGCAAGAACCGCAGCCUCAGGGAUGUAUUUAUAAGAUGACUCAAAAGCUACACUUUCAAGUUGCUUCUCCUCGGGGUAGAUAUAACAAACACAUUUAACUAAGAAAUCUAAACAAAAAGGACAGAAAUUGAUAACUUUGAUUGCACAAGCUCACAUUACCCAUUGAAAUUAAAAUCUGCCAUCUAAAUAGAUUUCUCCACUAUCUCUAGAGGAAAGAGAUUCUCUCCCCCUACACAUAUAGAUACACACAUACACACGUGUAAUGUCAUAUACAUUUUUGCCCUGCUAGAAUACCAAUUAUCCCAGAAGAUAGAAAGAGGUAAAAUUAAAAAAAAAAAAAAAAAAAAAAAAUGGGGGGGGGGGGGGAAGUUCCUGUAAAGUUUGUAUUAAUGUUCCAACAUUCCCCGCAACUCUAUUCUUCCGGCCACUUCAUUCAUCCGAGGCUCUGCUAUUUUAUCUGCUUCAGUGUUUAAACUAGUCGGAUAUAAUGUUCUAAGUUCAGCAUUUGAAAUUAAAUUAUUUGAAUUCACGGAUAUUAAUCUUUUCCCUUCAUCCUCCAGUUCUGAAUCUUGUCAUUAAAAAUGAUCCACCCUU